UAGUCCACGCCGUAAACGAUGGACACUAGUUGUUGGGUUUCGGCUCAGUGACUAAGCGAAAGUGAUAAGUGUCCCACCUGGGGAGUACGAUCGCAAGAUUGAAACUCAAAGGAAUUGACGGGGGCCCGCACAAGCGGUGGAGCAUGUGGUUUAAUUCGAUGAUACGCGAGGAACCUUACCAGGGCUUAAAUGUAGUGGGACAGCUUUAGAGAUAGAGUUUUCUUCGGACUCAUUACAAGGUGCUGCAUGGUUGUCGUCAGCUCGUGCCGUGAGGUGUCAGGUUAAGUCCUAUAACGAGCGCAACCCUUGUCGUUAGUUGCCAGCAUUUCAAGAUGGGGACUCUAACGAGACUGCCGGUGCAAACCGCGAGGAAGGUGGGGAUGACGUCAAAUCAUCACGGCCCUUACGUCCUGGGCCACACACGUGCUACAAUGGUAUGGACAAUGAGCCGCCAUCUGGCAACAGAGAGCCAAUCUAUAAACCAUAUCACAGUUCGGAUCGG
rnacentral:rRNA from 1 species